rnacentral:lncRNA from 1 species
AAUGUUGUUAUAAAAACAUUCCCUAGCUUCAAGAACAUGGCUUGUCUUAUGUCCGAGGUUGUGCAUUUCAUCACGGCUUCUCCCCCGCAAUCGGCGUGUUUGGGACUGAUGGGUUGGACAUAGAUGACAACAUUAUCCACUUUACAGUAGGAGAAGGUAUAAGAAUAUGGGGAGAUGCCAACAGAGUACGGGGAAAUUUGGUUACACUUUCAAUCUGGCCAGGAACCUACCAGAACAGAAAAGACUUGAGCUCAACACUUUGGCAUGCGGCCAUUGAGGUAGGGAG